UAUCUAAUAAUAAUCAUGAUUUUUCUGUGUUGGUGUAGUGUACUCAGGUGAACAUAUUCACCUGAGUACAUUACACCAACACAGAAAAAUCAUGAUUAUUAU